AACGUAGGUUCUGAGCGUUAUUCGGAUUUACUGGGCGUAAAGCGCGUUCAGGCGGUUUGGCAAGUCGGGCAUGAAAUCUCUGGGCUCAACCUGGAGAGGUUGUCCGAUACUGCUAAACUGGAGGGCAGUAGAGGGUGGUGGAAUUCCGGGUGUAGUGGUGAAAUGCGUAGAGAUCCGGAGGAACACCAGUGGCGAAAGCGGCCACCUGGACUGCACCUGACGCUGAAACGCGAAAGCUAGGGGAGCGAACGGG
rnacentral:rRNA from 1 species